rnacentral:tRNA from 1 species
GGUAAUAGCUCAGUGGUAGAGCGCAUGCUUAGCAUGCACAAGGUCCUGGGUUCAAUACCUAGUACUUCCA